CCUACGGGAGACAGCAGUAGGGAAUUUUCGUCAAUGGGCGCAAGCCUGAACGAGCAAUGCCGCGUGAACGAGGAAGGUCUUCGGAUCGUAAAGUUCUGUUGAAGGGGAAAAAGAGCGGAGAGAGGAAAUGAACUCCGAUUGAUAUUACCCUUCGAGGAAGUCACGGCUAACUACGUGCCAGCAGCCGCGGUAAUACGUAGGUGGCGAGCGUUAUCCGGAAUGAUUGGGCGUAAGGGGUGCGUAGGCGGCCUGCUAAGUCUGGAGUGAAAGGUACCGGCACAACCGGUACAGGCUCUGGAAACUGGCGGGCUAGAGAGCAGGAGAGGGCGGUGGAACUCCAUGUGUAGCGGUAAAAUGCGUAGAUAUAUGGAAGAACACCAGUGGCGAAGGCGGCCGCCUGGCCUGUUGACUGACGCUGAGGCACGAAAGCGUAGGGAGCAAAUAGGAUUAGAUACCCGGGUAGUC
rnacentral:rRNA from 1 species